ACAAUAAAUCACAAUGCGGAACAUCUGUUUUGCAAUUGGAUUGAGAACAACGCACAACACUUAUCGAUAAACAAUUGGAGGGCAAGUCUGGUGCCAGCAGCCGCGGUAAUUCCAGCUCCAAUAGCGUAUAUUAACGUUGUUGCAGUUAAAAAGCUCGUAGUUGAAGUGAAGUGUGGAAGUUUGGCAUUUUCGUUUGAAUUUGCUUCUCUUCUAUACUCUUUCCAAAUAGUUUGCAUGGGUAUUCAUUUAUCUGUGUAUUGCAUUUGGUCAUUUACUGUGAGAAAAUUAGAGUGUUCAAAGCAUACGUUUGUUUGAAUACAUUAGCAUGGAAUAAUUCGAAAAGGCUUUCAUGUUCGAUUUGAUUGGUUUGUUCGUGAAGGCAAGAUUAAAAGGGACAGUUGGGGGUAUUCAUAUUCAAUAGUCAGAGGUGAAAUUCUCGGAUUUAUGGAAGAUGAACAA
rnacentral:rRNA from 1 species